AUUCAAUAUAUUUUAUAUGGAGCAUUUAGGUCAUUAACAUUCAAUGUUACUAUUGACAUGUGAGGUAAUAUUCUAUUAAUCAUGCUAUUUGUUGCCUGAAUACCUUGGCUUUUUUUUUUUCAUUGUGUUGUUAUAUAGGUCCUGUGA